GCCACUUUUGAAUUGAAUUGUGUUGCGUUAGUCUCCUUCGAAACAAAAGAAAGCGUCGCCCGUUGUGCACCAAUGAUGAAAUAGUGUGCAGUUGGCGGAGGCGCCGCCACCACAAAAC
ensembl:snoRNA W06A7.12 ncRNA